UUCCGAAGCCCCUUUUUAUUUUGGUAAUGGUUCUGAGAUAACCAGAUCUAAGAAGUUGAAUAUAAAGCCACAGAGAACAAUACUGUCCACAAACGACUACCCAAGGUUUCAAUCAGCAAAAAUACUAAACAAUCACGACUGGAACAGUUGUUGCAUUUCUCCUCCGGGCAGCUUGGAAAGUCUGCCUGUAAAAUAUCAAAAAAGUCAAAGUCCUUGAUAAAAGUUGGCCCAUCUCCAGAGCUUGGAUUAGAACCAACCAGUUUGACUACUGAAGAGUUUGAAAUAGUGUCAGAGUUUGGAUAUAAAACAUCUUUUCCGGAGCAUUCCAACGGUUCUUUAAUGGAAAUUUUGACGGUACCUUGGAGUGUCUAGAUGAGCAAUACGACAAUAGCUCAGAUGAAGAGUCUGUUUUGCAUUCAUUAAUAUCCCCAGAAAAAAGUAAUGCAGACUCCGAAGA